UUUAAGUGCAAUUGUAAGUUUCCGUGUCCAACAUUUAACUGUCUUUCUUAUUAAUUUUUUUUAAGAUUAAUAUUUUUAUCGUUAUUAGAUGAUAAACAUGAAUAAUACUUUAUAUGCGACUUAUUUUUUUAAAUUUUUUUAUAAAAUUUUUAAAUAAGAUGGACGGUCAAACAUUUGACACGGAAAUCCACAACUGCAUUUAAA
rfam:Oryza meridionalis cultivar OR44 (W2112) chromosome 6, whole genome shotgun sequence.